AUACAUGCAAGUCGAGCGGACUAAUGGGAGCUUGCUCCCGUUAGUUAGCGGCGGACGGGUGAGUAACACGUGGGCAACCUACCUAUAAGACUGGGAUAACUUCGGGAAACCGGAGCUAAUACCGGAUGACAUAAAGGAACUCCUGUUCCUUUAUUGAAAGAUGGCUUCGGCUAUCACUUACAGAUGGGCCCGCGGCGCAUUAGCUAGUUGGUGAGGUAACGGCUCACCAAGGCGACGAUGCGUAGCCGACCUGAGAGGGUGAUCGGCCACACUGGGACUGAGACACGGCCCAGACUCCUACGGGAGGCAGCAGUAGGGAAUCUUCCGCAAUGGACGAAAGUCUGACGGAGCAACGCCGCGUGAGCGAUGAAGGCCUUCGGGUCGUAAAGCUCUGUUGUUAGGGAAGAACAAGUGCUAGUUGAAUAAGCUGGCACCUUGACGGUACCUAACCAGAAAGCCACGGCUAACUACGUGCCAGCAGCCGCGGUAAUACGUAGGUGGCAAGCGUUGUCCGGAAUUAUUGGGCGUAAAGCGCGCGCAGGCGGUUUCUUAAGUCUGAUGUGAAAGCCCCCGGCUCAACCGGGGAGGGUCAUUGGAAACUGGGAAACUUGAGUGCAGAAGAGGAAAGUGGAAUUCCAAGUGUAGCGGUGAAAUGCGUAGAGAUUUGGAGGAACACCAGUGGCGAAGGCGACUUUCUGGUCUGUAAC
rnacentral:rRNA from 2 species